GGAAGGAUCAUUAACAUUACACCAUUACGAACCCGUGAAGCGUUGAAGUAAACAUUUUUUUAUGUAACCCCUGUAUUCAAGUCUGAUAGUUUUUUCUUUAAUGAGAGAACAAAAAUACACGACCUUUAACAAUGGAUGCCUCGGCUCCUACAUCGAUGAAGAGCGUAGCAAACUACGAUAAUUAUUGUGAAUUGCAGAAUUCAGCGAAUCAUCAAAACCUUGAACGCAAAUGGCGCCUGCAGGACAAUUUUCUUGCAGGCACAUCCGGUUGAGUGUCAAAUCCAUUAUCCAAAAAACCCAAUUCUAUUGGUGCUUUUUGGGGAAUCGAGUGUCAAUACUUUUUAUCAAGUGUUGUCACUUUAGAAGAUAAGCUUUGGGAUUUGAAGUCAUGAUUUCUUCAGGCACAUAUAAACUGAUUUGACUAUUUUUUUGUAUACCGCUUGCUGAUUGAAAUGAAUUCAGUUGUCUCAGGCUCUUACAGAAGAGAGAAAAAAAAGACGCCUCUUCUCCUUUUUGAAAGGGAUUUUGUCAUUUGGUUAACAAUGAGCCUUUUUCCUUGCGAGGAAAAGAAUGACCUCAAUUUGGAUGUGGCUACCCCCUGAACUUAAGCAUAUCAAUAAGGGGAGGAAAAGAAAUUAACUAAGAUUCCCGUAGUAACUGCGAGUGAAGUGGGAAAAGCUCAAACUUAAAAUCUGGACACCAAGUGUUCCGAAUUGUAGUCUUCCGAAUGGUGUUCACGGGAUGGUUCUUUUGGUCUAAGUUCCCUGGAACGGGACGCCACAGAAGGUGAUAGCCCUGUUCAUGUCCAGAAUGAAUUAUUCAACACGUGUCGCCAAUUCGUCGAGUCGGGUUGUUUGAGAGUACAGCCCUAAAUGGGAGGUAAAUUCCUUCUAAAGCUAAAUACGGGUAGGAGACCGAUAGAAAACAAGUACCGUGAGGGAAAGGUGCAAAGAACUUUGAAAAGAGAGUUAAAAGAACCUGAAAUUGUUAAAGGGGAAGCGAUUGGGUACUGCCUUGAUACUGCCUUGGAUUCAUCUUUUGAUCUUAUGUUGGUAAGGUGAAAGAGAUUCACUUGCGGGUGGACUCUGAUCCCUAUUAAUGUGAGGUCAAUUGAGCACUUCUUCGGUAACAUCGUCCAAUAUCAGUGAAUGUAGCAGUAGAAGGCUGGUCGAGGGGUGCUGAUGUGUUGAUCCUUGUGGUUAAUGUGUUGGUCUAAAUCUUCCAAACUUGCUGUUCCGUUCACUGAGGAUCUAAUAACCAAAUCCUUUUUGGAGAGGGGAGGGUGGGGUCUGAGAGUUGCAUGUAGAGGUUUCUGGUCAACAGAUGCUUUUGUUUGUAAUAAUCACUACUUUACUCGCCACUCUUUUGGUUAGAGAUGUUGGAAUUGGUAGUCUCAACCGUCCCGUCUUGAAACACGGACCAAGGAGUCUAACAUAUAUGCAAGUGAGUGGGUUUUAAACCUAAAAGCGAAAUGAAAGUGAUUGAUGUGAUGGAAGUUCUUUGGAACAACUUGCAACAUCUGCCGAUUUGUUCAUCUUUGGAUAUAUUCGAGUAGGAGCACAUAUGUUGGGACCCGAAAGAUUGCGAACUAUGCUUGCAUAGGGUGAAGCCAGGCGAAAGUCUGGUGGAGGCUCGUAGCGAUACUGACGUGCAAAUCGUUCGUCAAAUGUGGGUAUAGCGGCGAAAGACUAAUCGAGCAAUCUAGUAGCUGGUUUCCUC
rnacentral:misc_RNA from 1 species